rnacentral:rRNA from 1 species
UACGAAGGGGGCUAGCGUUGUUCGGAUUUACUGGGCGUAAAGCGCGCGUAGGCGGCUUUGUAAGUUAGAGGUGAAAGCCCGGAGCUCAACUCCGGAAUUGCCUUUAAGACUGCAUCGCUAGAAUCAUGGAGAGGUUAGUGGAAUUCCGAGUGUAGAGGUGAAAUUCGUAGAUAUUCGGAAGAACACCAGUGGCGAAGGCGACUAACUGGACAUGUAUUGACGCUGAGGUGCGAAAGCGUGGGGAGCAAACAGG